rnacentral:rRNA from 1 species
UACGAAGGGGGCUAGCGUUGCUCGGAUUUACUGGGCGUAAAGCGUACGCAGACGGUGAGAAAGGUCGGAUGUGAAAGCCCCGGGCUCAACCCGGGAACUGCAUCCGAAACCAUCUCGCUAGAGUAUGGGAGAGGGAAGCGGAAUUCCUGGUGUAGAGGUGAAAUUCGUAGAUAUCAGGAGGAACACCUGCGGCGAAGGCGGCUUCCUGGCCCAUUACUGACGUUCAGGUACGAAAGCGUGGGUAGCAAACAGG